AGAGCGAACGCUGGCGGCAGGCCUAACACAUGCAAGUCGAGCGCCCGUAGCAAUACGGGAGCGGCAGACGGGAUAGUAACACGUGGGAACGCGCCCUUCGGUUCGGAAUAACUCAGGGAAACUUGAGCUAAUACCGGAUACGCCCUUACGGGGAAAGAUUUAUUGCCGAAGGAACGGCCCGCGUCCGAUUAGCUAGUUGGUGAGGUAAUGGCUCACCAAGGCGACGAUCGGUAGCUGGUCUGAGAGGAUGACCAGCAUCACUGGGACUGAGACACGGCCCAGACUCCUACGGGAGGCAGCAGUGGGGAAUAUGGACAAUGGGCGCAAGCCUGAUCCAGCCAUGCCGCGUGGAUGAUGAAGGCCUUAGGGUUGUAAAGUCCUUUUAACGGGGAAGAUAAUGACGGUACCCGUAGAAUAAGCCCCGGCUAACUUCGUGCCAGCAGCCGC
rnacentral:rRNA from 1 species